rnacentral:rRNA from 2 species
GUUGACCUCGAAUCAG